AGCUCAGUGGCAGAGCACUUGCCUAGGAUGCAUGAAUCUCUGGGUUCAAUCCCCAG
rnacentral:tRNA from 1 species